GUAAGUUCCAGACCCAGACCUAAAGAGACAGGCAGCUUCUACUCUCUGCCCAUUGGGAAUGCUUGCUCUUGGACCCCAGCCACCAUUCUGAGAGGAAGCCAAGCAGCCACAUGGACAGGGUACACAUAGGUACUGCGGCCAACAGCCCCAGCUGAGGUCCCGCCAACAGCCAUCCUCAAAUGCCAGACACAGAAAGAGAGAGCACAAGCAGAGGGAGAAGCAGGCUUCCUGCUGAGCAAAGAGCCCGAUGCAGAUUCAAUUCCAGAACCCCAGGAUCACGACCUGAGCUGAAGGCGGAUGCUCAACAGACUGAGCCACCCAGACAACCCAAUGUAAUGUUCUAAAUGCUCAAAAAAAAAAAGGCCAAUAAAUGUGUGA
ensembl:lincRNA